ensembl:lincRNA
GGCAGGGGGCGGCACCCGGGAACCUCUGGGCCUCCAGAGCCUGCGGAGCGUCCAGCUCGGCCAGGCUACAGAAAACUGCAUGUUGCUUUGUCUUCUUCCCCAGCCGCCUUCCCGCCCGGAGGAAAGUGAGCGGCGCCUUUGCAGGCGUUUCCUCUCAGGAAGGCGCUGGGAGGGUGCGUGCGAAGAUCCUCGCCGGAGGGGACGUCCCGGCGACGAGCUGCCACCCGCGGAGUCCUUGCCCGGGGCCCUGUCUCACUGUGAAAGGCGCACUGCCCCUUAAGGGGGCUUCCUCCCGGAAGGACGCGCGCCCUGGUUCUUCCCGCGGCCUGGCCUCGGGACCGUCCCGCCGCCACAGGUCACUCAACGACCACAUUUUCCUUGGGCAUUGCCUCUGACCUGUGCCCUUUUUCUCCUUUCCGGUUGGAUCCCAGCCAGAGGCAAGGGCUGGAAAGGCGCCCUCCUCUGGGUGAGGGAGACCUUAAAACCAGCCCAUUCCACCGUCAAGGUCUGGUCCAGGAGCCUAGCAAGGACGCAGCAAGACCCCGGGAGUCACCUACUUUUCCUUGCUCUGAUCUUGUCAAAGUCAGCCCUCCAGCAUCUACCAGAGAAACCAGAGAGAGUGGACACAUGGAUACAAAUGCUUUCCGACUUCCGGGAAAAUGAUCUCAGCCCUUGCUCUCCCUGUCCAACAAGCAGCAAGGGCAAGUAUAUAGGCGGCCAGGCACCCGGUUACCUGGCAUGGUCCUCAUAUGGAUCCUCCCUUUACCUCUCUAAUACCUUACAGAGCCUAUUCCCAGUAAACUCCAGCUUCCUUGAUCAUGAGGUCUGAUGAUUUGGGGCAAAGAAUAGAUUCUUGGGGUAAGAAUGAGCACAGUAAGAAUGAGUGGGUAUCCUGGUGGCUUUAAACUGGGGAAUUAGCCAGUAAUUUAUAAACCCAGACGUAAGUUCAUAUGGGUGGAAAAGUCAACCUAGAGUUAUGUGAGCUUAUUAGCUAAGAAACUGGGAUGGUCCCCAGGAAUCCAGCUCAGGUUGCUAUACAUAAGCAUUCACCUUGGGGAAAGAAAGGAGGAGGCAAGAAGACCAGCUGAGCAAGAGCAGCCCCUGUAAGAGGCAUGGACUGGUGCUUAUUUGUCCAGUACCAUAUUCCUCCACAACCCCACCCAAGAUCCCUGUGUGGGAAGAAAAACCUUGCAGCAGGCAAGAUGUUAAGUACAGAGGUCAAAAUGAGGACUAGAAAGGAAGAUGAAAUCCUACCAUACAUUUAAUACUGUUUUCUGAAGGUCAUAGAAAAGCCCAGAUUAUGGAUUUUUCUUUUUGUAAUCUCAAAUACAAAUUUCUAAAAGUUGACAAUGCCAUGAACAUCACCAAAUUCAGAAAAUUACCACCACACCUUGCCAAAUUUAUUAUUAUUACUAUUAUUAUUACUGCUACUACUGUUGCGAAAAAUGUGCACUUGUGGUAUAGUAUCAAAUUUUAGAAGAUUGCACAAAUUUCUUUCGGAAAUGAACUGUAGGAAUUCCGGGUACUUCAAAUUGUUUUGUGGUGAUUAAUAUUAAAUGCUCUUUGUUUUUAAUCAAGGCAUAAAGUAACUUUCCAAGGUGAUGCAAAUGUUUUAAUUGGAUGAUGUUGGUUGCAGUCAUCAAAACUUAUCAAAAUUUAUACCUUAGAGUUGUGCAUUCUCUAUACAUAAAUUUUGCCUCAAUAAAAGAAAAAAAUACAGGAAAUUUUCAAAUUGUCCAUUCAAUUGCCUUAGGUUAAAAGCCUAGAGAAACCUAUGAAGUGUCCAUUGCACUGCUGUAAGAUGAGGACGUGUGUGCAUUUGUGUGCAUUUGUGUGUAUGUGUGUGACACAGAUGUGCAUGGUGAGGAUGCUGGUAGAACCUGAUGCUGAGAGAGAUCUUGCAGAAGGUAGAGGCAAAGAGCCACGUGGAUUCUGUCUUGAGAUUUAAUGUUGCAAGUGUGGAUCCAAGACUUUAAAAAAAUGUUCUUUCCUUAACCGGGGGAGUCUGAGUGUAUAAUAUAUGGAUACCCAAGGGUCAGAAGAAAGCUCUUCAUUCCACAUGAGAGCCAAGGUAACUUACACAGGUUUGGAAAGAAAUGUGCCCCCAAACCCAAAGCAGAAGAUUGAAUUUAAAGAGAUGAACCCAUGCUUUAGUCACAACUCAUUAACUUUUUUGUUAAUCUGUACUAUGAAUUUUGUCGUUUCGUAGCCCUGAGUUAUUUCAUGUCAGAAGAGUAAGAAAUUUAAAUAUUUCUGUAUUAUCUGUAUUCUCAAAAAGCCUUAGAAUAUGCAUUUAAAGAAGUGCAUUUUUACUUUAAAGAACAAACAAAGAGCUCUAACUUCUAUAGUAUUUUCAAUUAGAAUGGCUGAGACAGGCCUGGGGACUUAGCUCAGUGAUUCUGCUGCCUGCCUUGUGAGCCCAAGGACCUGAAUUUGAUUCCCAGUACCCCCCAAAAAGAAUGCCUGAGACACGUGCUUUGUUAUAUGCUUAGGAUACUUUAGGCUUCAUCUUUUAAGUGUCAAUCUUGAAUGUACACUUUAUUGGCUUGAGAGAUACCGAGGAGAUUAGUAAAGCACACUUCUGGUUGUGGGAGUGUGACCUUGGAGACUAUGAUGUAGAUUUUUGUUGUGUGUGAUGCUAGUUACACUCAUCAAAGAGUAUAAUGUAUUGCUCUGUAAAUAAACUUUAACUCCAUUAAAGGAAAAACCUGAGUUUUUUAACCAAGAGAAGUGCUCAAGGGCCCUUGGCCUUUUCUCUAGUUCUUUUCCCUCUUACUCUGCUUACUGGCUGCCCUGAGGUAGGCAGCUUUCCUUAGCUGCUUCUGUCUUACCUCCAGCAGACCAUGGACUAAUUCCUCUAAAACUGUGAGCCAAAAUAAGCCUUUUCUCCUUUAAGUUGUUCCAGCAUCAGAAAACUGACUAAUGCAUAUACCGACUGCAGGAAAACCAUUCAUAUGUUAGGAUUAUUGACAUCACUCUAGUUUCAAAUAUUGUGCCUGGUCCAUAACAGGAGGUCAAUAAAUAAUUGUUGAAAUUUUCCACUACUCAAGACAAAAAGAUUCAACAUCACCUACAAUCAAGUUGUGCUUGCAUUUCAGUUGCCCGCGAUGAAGCUGAGAGAAUUUGUGUCCAAAUUUGACAUGCCAUUUGCUUGUAGGGACUCUGCUGAACCCUGAGUGGGUGCUGGAUGGAUAGGAAACAGGAAGUAAAGAGCAAAGAUGUGCUCAGUGUGCUUGGGUGAGAGUAAAGAAGAGGGAAAGCCAGAGGAGGGAGUGGAUGCUUCCUGCCUGUGGUCAAGUGCAUAAGGAAUGACAGUUCAGAGGGUGAACACAGGUACUCACCUAUUCCCAAGACCCAAAUAAGUAAGGCUAAGUCUGGGGAGAAAACAACACUAAUAAUAUACACUCAUAAUAAAGGCUUCCACUUAUUGUUACUCUUCCUAAGCAUAAUUAUUCUUUCAUUCAUGUGACAAAUAUUUAUUGAACAUCUAUUAUAUAGUAGUUGUAGUUCACUGACUGUAGCAGGACACCCAAUGUCUCUUUCCUCAUGAGCCUUAUAGACUAAUGAGCUUAAAAUAGCUGAAAAUAAGAAAGGUGAGUAAAUUAAUGGGAUAUUAUAAGGUGCUACAUGCUUUGCAGAACAAAAUAAAGCAAAGAAAGGGGUAAGGAAUAAGAGGUGUGGGAUCCAGCACGUAGCAAAGGGUGUUCCCUUUGCUUUACUGAUAAGGUGAAAGUUGAACAGAGACCUAAAAGAGAUAAGAGAUGGAGCCCCACGGAUAUGUGAGGAAGCUCAAAGGCCCUGGGGUCUUUCCUGGUGUGUGGUGAGCACAGCAAGGCUGUUAGCAUGCCUGGGGCUGAGUAAGCCAAGGAGCGGCAGGAGAUGUAAUUGUAUAGGUCAUUGUGUGCACAGGCACUCUCAACAGCCCUGGGAAAAUUUUGCACAAAUUAAGUGAUAUGAUCUGACAGUUCUUUUAUCAGGACAGAUAUCCCUGUGUGAGAAAAGCAGGAAGGUAAAUUAGAAAGCUAUUGAAAAAAAUCCCAGCAAGAGACAAUGGUGGCUCACUCCAGGCUGGGAUCAAAGGAGGUGGUAAGAAGUGUUUAUGUUCUGGUGCUCUCCCUUUGACAAGACUAGCGGAAAAACAGAUGCAAAGUGUAAGAGAUAGGCAAUGAUGACUCAAAAGUUUUCAGUUAAACCACUGGAAAGGUGGCACUGCACUAACUAAAUGGGGUAAAGGGGGGGGGGGUGUGGACCUGCAAGGCUGGGGGUGGAGCAAUAAGGCCAGCAGUGGCUACUACAUAGCCAGUAGUAAGGCUGUUGAAGGUCAUGAACGUGGAAGUGGGUGACAGAAUAGGAAAAAUGCUCACCAUGCGGGCAAAUCUGGCUCUUGGGUUUAAGUGUGACAGAGGAAAACAAAGGGCUUGCACAUGCUGUGGUCUGUGGUUAUGUGGAAUGCUCCUAAGAUUAUCUUCAAAGAUCAAGUGGGAAGAGGGAUGUGAAUUCCUGUGCCCCUCAAUACCCUAUCUAUAUUAAGUUCACUCCCCAGCCCAGCAAAAAGAAAAACGAAAUGACAAUAAAAAAGAAUGGAAGCACUAGCAUUAUAUUCCUAUAAUUUCAGCAGUAUCUUACUUUUCCUCAAAUUAGUUUCAUCCCUGACCUAGUGAGUCUAAUAUUUAUUCAAAAACAGUUACUUCUGCCAGGCAUGGUACAUGCCCGUAAUCCCACACGUCAAAUGCUGAGCCAGGAGGAUCACUUUGAGUUCCAGGCCACCCUGGGCUACAUGGUGAGUUCAACAGCAUAAACACAGGGAGACACUGUUUCCAAAAAAAGGUUGCUUCUGAAAUUAACUACAACAACAGAUUUAGUUAAUAUAUUGUUUUCCAGGAUGAUAGAAAUUAAUUAAAUUUCAGGGGGUUUUUUGCUACCAAAAAACUAGCAGGGACAACCCACUUUCCCAUCUCCCUUCUAGCUCACUUAGAUAGAGGCUUUCUUUCCCUCAAUAAAUUUUUCCUAACCUUAACCUCCGUUGUUCCUGGAAUUCAUUCUUCGAUUUUAGAGAACACAAACUCGCAUUUCGAAUGUCUAGAGGGUUUGGAAGUUACAUCUCUUCCCCCU